rnacentral:lncRNA from 1 species
ACCAUCAUCAGAAGGACACAACUAAAAUAACAUAUUAUGAAUGAUAAUUCCGACAGCCAGAUGAGCACCAGGCGUGUGGUGCCUUCAAUGAUCAUCUAAACAGUUGGACUCAUUAUCAUCCAACUUAAUGGGAGGUUAUGAUCUAGUUAUCGCCAUAACUAUUUCAUUUUUAGGGACCUAAUAAUUUUAGAGGAUUUAAUUAGUUGAAUUAAGAGAUAAGAAAAGACUGGACCUGCUAAUCUUAAUCCUCCCACUGACUUCACCAAGUCAGAUUAAAAAAGAUUAGAUAAAUGCUG